GUGCUUUGGUUUCGGCAGCACGUUUACUAAAAUUGAAUGAUAUAGAGAGAUUAGCAUGGCUCCCUGCACAAGGAGACGUGCACAUCCACAUAGAAGUGUUCCACAGUUAA